GCUUAACCAACUGAGCCCAUAUACUAAAAUUGGGACGAUACAGAGAAGAUUAGCAUGGCCCCUGCGCAAGGAAUUCUAAGGAGACUAGUAGCCUAACUAGUU